rnacentral:misc_RNA from 1 species
GAUGAAGACGUAGUGAAAUGCGAUACUUGGUGUGAAUUGCAGAAUCCCGUGAACCAUCGAGUCUUUGAACGCAAGUUGCGCCCGAAGCCAUUAGGCCGAGGGCACGCCUGCCUGGGCGUCACACGUCGUUGCCCCCCCAUCUACUCCUUCGGGAUUGCGGGGGGUGGAUGAUGGCCUCCCGUGCGCCUCGCCGCGCGGUUGGCAUAAAUGCCAAGUCCUCGGCGACGCACGCCACGACAAUCGGUGGUUGCGAAACCUCGGUUGCCCGUCGUGUGCGGUCGUCGCGCAUCGAGGGCUCGAAAAAAUUGCCGGGUUCCGGCUCGGCUUUCAACGCGACCCCAGGUCAGGCGGGGUUACCCGCUGAAUUUAAGCAUAUCAAUAAGCGGAGGA